rnacentral:rRNA from 1 species
UACGUAGGUGACAAGCGUUGUCCGGAUUUACUGGGCGUAAAGAGCGCGCAGGCGGUCGAUCAAGUCGAGUGUGAAACCCCCCGGCUCAACUGGGGAGGGUCAUUCGAUACUGAUCGACUCGAAGGCAGGAGAGGGUAGUGGAAUUCCCGGUGUAGUGGUGAAAUGCGCAGAUAUCAGGAAGAACACCAAUGGCGAAGGCAGCUCUCUGGGACGGUACUGACGCUGAGACGCGAAAGCGUGGGGAGCGAACAGG